rnacentral:rRNA from 1 species
CAGUAGCGUAUAUUAAAGUUGUUGCAGUUAAAAUGCUCGUAGUUGAAGUUCGGAUGCAGCAGAGCUUGGAAACGCUGUUAUGGUGCUUCCGUUGCUUUUGCUUGUCCACAGUGCGUUGCAAGUACGUAUGUGCUUGUGCGUGCAUUUUACUUUGAGAAACAUAGGGUGUUCCACGCAUGUUACGGCAUGAAUAUUCCAGCAUGGGAUAAUCUGGUACGACUUCCAAUCUGCCAUUUUGGUUCGUAGGUUGGAAGUAAUGAUUAAUAGGGACUGUCGGGGGCAUUGGUAUUUGACUGUCAGAGGUGAAAUUCUUAGAUUCGUUGAGGACCAACCACUGCGAAAGCAUUUGCCAAGGAUGUUUUCAUUG